rfam:Clostridium sp. CAG:299 genomic scaffold, scf198
CGAGUAAGACAAAUGGCCGCAGCUGCAUGUGCCGAAAGGCCGCAGGUGAGGAAAGUCCGGGCUUCACAGGGCAGGAUGCCAGAUAACGUCUGGCGGAGGCGACUCCAGGGACAGUGCAACAGAAAUAAACCGCGGGGGCUUUGCUUCCCGUAAGGGUGGAAAGGCAGCGUAAGAGACUACCGCCUGGCUGGUAACAGACAGGGCAUAUGUAAACCCCAUCCGAAGCAAGACCGAACAGAAAGCAUAAGGCGGCCCGUCUGCUUUCGGGUAGGUCGCUAGAGUCUGCCGGCGACGGCAGAAGUGGAUAGAUGGCCAUUCAACGACAUAACCCGGCUUAUCGUUUUGCUCGGAAA